GAUGAAGAACGCAGCGAAAUGCGAUAAGUAAUGUGAAUUGCAGAAUUCAGUGAAUCAUCGAAUCUUUGAACGCACCUUGCGCUCCUUGGUAUUCCGAGGAGCAUGCCUGUUUGAGUGUCAUUAAUAUAUCAACCUUCUCUUUUUUGAGUUGUUUGGAUGUGGGGGUUUGCUGGCCUCUUAAAUGAUUCAGCUCCCCUGAAAUGCAUUAGCAGAACAACCUGUUCAUUAGCGUGAUAAUUAUCUAUGCUAUUGAAUGUGAGGGAAGUUCAGCUUUCUAACCGUCCUUGGACAAUUCAUCAUUAAUGUGACCUCAAAUCAGGUAGGACUACCCGCUGAACUUAAGCAUAUCAAUAAGCGGAGGA
rnacentral:misc_RNA from 1 species